CUCUCCAAACUCGGUCAUUUAGAGGAAGUAAAAGUCGUAACAAGGUCUCCGUUGGUGAACCAGCGGAGGGAUCAUUACCGAGUUAUCCAACUCCCAACCCCUGUGAAUUAUACCUUUAAUUGUUGCUUCGGCGGGACUUCGCGCCCGCCGGGGACCCAAACCUUCUGAAUUUUUUAAUAAGUAUCUUCUGAGUGGUUAAAAAAAUGAAUCAAAACUUUCAACAACGGAUCUCUUGGUUCUGGCAUCGAUGAAGAACGCAGCGAAAUGCGAUAAGUAAUGUGAAUUGCAGAAUUCAGUGAAUCAUCGAAUCUUUGAACGCACAUUGCGCCCGUCAGUAUUCUGGCGGGCAUGCCUGUUCGAGCGUCAUUACGCCCCUCAAGUCCCCUGUGGACUUGGUGUUGGGGAUCGGCGAGGCUGGUUUUCCAGCACAGCCGUCCCUUAAAUUAAUUGGCGGUCUCGCCGUGGCCCUCCUCUGCGCAGUAGUAAAACACUCGCAACAGGAGCCCGGCGCGGUCCACUGCCGUAAAACCCCCCAACUUUUUAUAGUUGACCUCGAAUCAGGUAGGACUACCCGCUGAACUUAAGCAUAUCAAUAAGCGGAGGAA
rnacentral:rRNA from 1 species